UUUUUGCAUUGGUAUCACGGGUAUCACGGGAAAUCUCUGUUUCUUGUUACAUGUGCUCUCAAAAUGAAUGAAAAGUAAAGGUACUGAGGUGACCGAGGCUAUGAGGGCACUACCUCCCGGUAGUGAUGAGGUCGUUGCUUUGGCUGUGACGGAGGAGCUGUCUACUGAGGUGACUCCCUUCGCUAGCCAGGACCCCGUCCGCCCUGUUGUAGAUGUUGCGGUAAUCCCAGAGGAUACGCCCGCCGCUGACGUCGAAGGCUGCAAGAAAGAGCAUCAUAAUGCAGUUAACUGAAUUCUGUUAUGAAGCAGGAAAGGGACAUCAAACAACAGUGGACAAGAUUUUAUUAUGAAGCAAAAAAAGGGACAUCAGAGUGCAGUGGACGAGAUUUUUUUAAGAAGGAAGAAAGGAAUAUUAAAAUGCAGUGGACUGGAUUUAAUUAUGAAUCGAGAAAAGGAACAAAGUGCAGUAAAUGGAAUUUUAUUAUGAAAUGCAAGGAAGGGACAUCAAAGUGCAAUGGACUGGAGAAUGUUGCUUCAAAAGAUUGGCAGAGUUGCUCUUUGCAGUAGAGGAAUAUCAAAGUGCAAUCGACUGGGUUUAACAUAAACAAGAAAGGAUUAUCAAAGUGUUAUGAAUUAAACUGUUUCAGGACAGAAAUAAACAACAUCAAAUUCUAAUUGACUGGAUUUUCUUGGGAAGGAUAGAAAGAACAUGAGGAAGGAACAUAAAAGUGCAAUUGAUUCAGUUUUAUUAUGGAGAAAGGAAGAAACAUCAAAGUGCAAUCGACUUGGAUUUUAUUUAAGUGCAGUGGACGGACUGGAUUUUCUCAGAGUGAAGAGAGGAUAUCUUGAUGUUAAUGUGACCCAUAAAAGUGACUAUUUUCAUUUGUAGUGUUAAAAGUGAAAAAAUAAGAUAAAAAUGUUAAUCAUUGGAAUUGAUACUUUUUGUGGGGGUGGGAAUCUCUGUCCUGUGUAUACCAUUUCUUCCCAUUCAUCCUAUAAAAUUGAAUUUUUCAUGACAUCCAUUAUGGAUAGAAACUAUAUCUGAAGUGGAAUAAUUAUUAAAUCUGGAACCACGCUUGUACAGUUUUUUUCGGAAGUUACACUCUCGCGAUAUUUUGAAAAGAAUUUUUUAAAGGUAAUUAUGUUUUUCUCUUUCUUACAUAUUUGCUGAAUUACAAGAGUAAUUUAUAUUUCUUGUUGCCAUGCUUAUUUACAGUACUUAUACCAGUUCAUUUUCAUUCAGUUUGAGCUGCAAGGUGAAGCAGGAAAAUGGUGUCAAGUUUGAAGGCAAGCCAAAGAUGCAGUCCUGGAUUUUCCUUGGAAAAGUAUGAAGAAUGUCUGUGAAAAAAGUGACUGUGUUCAUUUGCAGUGUUUAAAGUGAAGAAAGAACAAAAAAGUUUAAGACAGCAAAAGAAGACCAUCGAACUUAAAUAGAUUAUAUCACUUUGUAUGAAAGAGCAUUAUUAUGCAGUGAACUGGAAUUUAUUAUGAAGCAAGAAAGGGACAUCAAAGUGCAGUGGACAGGAAUUUAUUAUGAAUCAAGAAAUGAAUAUUAAAGUGCAGAGGACUGGAUUGAAUUAUGACACAAGAAAGGAACAUCAAAGUACAGUGAAUGGAAUUUUAUUAUGAAGAAAGGAAGAGACAUCAAAGUGCAAUGGACUGGAGACUACUUGGGAGAAGAUGUUGCUUCAAAAGAUUGGCAGAGUUGCUUUUUGCUACAGGUGCAAAGCCCUGACAGAUUCCUUUACUAUUGAUUGAGACAUGCUAACGUUGCCUUCGAGGACAAUCCGGUGUCUAUAUGUCCGCUAGAUUGUGGCGUUUUUUGGAGCGACUGGUCUGCAACAUUGUGCCGGCAAUGUUAAGAUGAUGGUUGUUCCUCUCUGUUUUGAGAGAUGGAAUCAGGGAUUGUGAGGAUUUGCAUUUCUUCCAUAUCAACUGACUGCCAAUGACAACUGACUUUAUGUCACGUUUAUAUGUACAGUCAGUGAUCAAUUAGACUUUAUUAUGAAGCAGUAGAGGAAUAUCAAAGUGCAAUUAACUGGAUUUAACAUAAAGCAAGGAAGUAUUAUCAAAGUGUUAUGAAUUAAAUUGUUUCAGGACAAGAAGAAACAACAUCCAAUUCUAAUUGACAGGAUUUUCUCAGGAAGAAAAGAAAGAACAUGAGGAAGGAACAUAAAAGUGCAAUUAAUUCAAUUUUAUUAUGGAGCAAGGAAGAAACAUCAAAGUGCAAUCGACUUGGAUUUUAUUUAAGUGCAGUGGACGGACUGGAUUUUCUCAGAGUGAAGAGAGGAUAUCUUAAUGUUAAUGUGACCCAUAAAAGUGACUGUAUUCAUUUGUAGUGUUAAAAGUGAAAAAAUAACAUAAAAAUGUUAAUCAUUGGAAUUGAUACUUUUUGUGGGGGUGGGAAUCUCUGUCCUGUGUAUACCAUUUCUUCCCAUUCAUCCUAAUUUCAUCCUGACCCUGCCCAUCCCAUCCCUGAUUGGUUACCCAGAUAUGAUUGUACAUAUAAUAUAUAAUAUAACAUAUAUUUGAAUUAAAAUAUAGAUGUAGAGCAUGGCCACGAAAUAAACAGAGAAAGAUGUGUAUAAAUCAAUUUACUAUGAAAUAUGUUGGUGUGAAAUCAUGUCUUAUUCAUGCAAUUGACACUUUCUAUAUUUACACUAUAUGAAGUGGUAAAAGUACACUUCUUUAUAAGCAAAUGUAUGUAUGUAUAUGAUAAAAAAAGGUCGAAAACUUGAAUUUUUCAAGACAUUCAUAAUUUUAUUAUGGAUAGAAACUAUUAUCUGAAGUGGAAUAAUUAUUAAAUCUGGAACCACGCUUGUACAGUUUUUUUCGGAAGUUACACUCUCGCGAUAUUUUGAAAAGAAUUUUUUAAAGGUAAUUAUGUUUUUCUCUUUCUUACAUAUUGCUGAAUUACAAGAGUAAUUUAUAUUUCUUGUUGCCAUGCUUAUUUACAGUACUUAUACCAGUUCAUUUUCAUUCAGUUUGAGCUGCAAGGUGAAGCAGGAAAAUGGUGUCAAGUUUGAAGGCAAGCCAAAGAUGCAGUCCUGGAUUUUCCUUGGAAAAGUAUGAAGAAUGUGAAAAAAGUGACUGUGUUCAUUUGCAGUGUUUAAAGUGAAGAAAGAACAAAAAAGUUUAAGACAGCAAAAGAAGACCAUCGAACUUAAAUAGAUUAUAUCACUUUGUAUGAAAGAGCAUUAUUAUGCAGUGAACUGGAAUUUAUUAUGAAGCAAGAAAGGGACAUCAAAGUGCAGUGGACAGGAAUUUAUUAUGAAUCAAGAAAUGAAUAUUAAAGUGCAGAGGACUGGAUUGAAUUAUGACACAAGAAAGGAACAUCAAAGUACAGUGAAUGGAAUUUUAUUAUGAAGAAAGGAAGAGACAUCAAAGUGCAAUGGACUGGAGACUACUUGGGAGAAGAUGUUGCUUCAAAAGAUUGGCAGAGUUGCUUUUUGCUACAGGUGCAAAGCCCUGACAGAUUCCUUUACUAUUGAUUGAGACAUGCUAACGUUGCCUUCGAGGACAAUCCGGUGUCUAUAUGUCCGCUAGAUUGUGGCGUUUUUUGGAGCGACUGGUCUGCAACAUUGUGCCGGCAAUGUUAAGAUGAUGGUUGUUCCUCUCUGUUUUGAGAGAUGGAAUCAGGGAUUGUGAGGAUUUGCAUUUCUUCCAUAUCAACUGACUGCCAAUGACAACUGACUUUAUGUCACGUUUAUAUGUACAGUCAGUGAUCAAUUAGACUUUAUUAUGAAGCAGUAGAGGAAUAUCAAAGUGCAAUUAACUGGAUUUAACAUAAAGCAAGGAAGUAUUAUCAAAGUGUUAUGAAUUAAAUUGUUUCAGGACAAGAAGAAACAACAUCCAAUUCUAAUUGACAGGAUUUUCUCAGGAAGAAAAGAAAGAACAUGAGGAAGGAACAUAAAAGUGCAAUUAAUUCAAUUUUAUUAUGGAGCAAGGAAGAAACAUCAAAGUGCAAUCGACUUGGAUUUUAUGUAAGUGCAGUGGACGGACUGGAUUUUCUCAGAGUGAAGAGAGGAUAUCUUAAUGUUAAUGUGACCCAUAAAAGUGACUGUAUUCAUUUGUAGUGUUAAAAGUGAAAAAAUAACAUAAAAAUGUUAAUCAUUGGAAUUGAUACUUUUUGUGGGGGUGGGAAUCUCUGUCCUGUGUAUACCAUUUCUUUCCAUUCAUCCUAAUUUCAUCCUGACCCUGCCCAUCCCAUCCCUGAUUGGUUACCCAGAUAUGAUUGUACAUAUAAUAUAUAAUAUAACAUAUAUUUGAAUUAAAAUAUAAAUGUAGAGCAUGGCCACGAAAUAAACAGAGAAAAGAUGUGUAUAAAUCAAUUUAAUAUGAAAUGUCUUGGUGUGAAAUCAUGUCUUAUUCAUGCAGUUGACACUUUCUGUAUUCACACUUUAUAUAAAGUAGUGUAAGUACACUUCUUUAUAAGCAGAUGUAUGUAUAUGGUUGAAAAAACAUGAAUUUUUCGGGACGUUCAUAAUACAAAUGUAUUAUUUUGGAUACAGUCUAUUAUCUGAAGUGGAAUAAUUAUUAAAUCUGGAACCACGCUUGUACAGCUUUUUUGGAAGUUGCACUCUCGCGUUAUUUUGAAAAAUACGGAAUAAGAAUUGUAUAAAAGGUAAUAUUUUUCUGCUUGGUACAUAUAUGCAGAAUUACUAAUUUAUAUUUCUUUUUGCCAUGCUUAUUUACAGAACUUAUACCAGUCCAUUUUUUCUUCAGUUUGAGCUGCAAGUUGAAGCAGGAAAAUGGUGUCAAGGCAGGCCAAAGAAGCAGUACUGGAUUUUCCCCGGAAAAGUAUGAAGAAUGUCUGUGAAAAAAGUGACUGUGUUCAUUUGUAGUGUUUUAAGUGAAGAAAGAACGUAAAAAGUUUAAGGCAGCAAAAGAACAAACAUAUCACUUUGCAAGAAAGAGCAUCAUUAUGCAGUUAACUGGAUUUUAUUAUGAAGCAAGAAUGGGAUAUCACAAAGCAGUGGACUGAAUUUUAUUAUGAAGUAAGAAAAGAAUAUCAAAAUUCAUUUGACUGAAUUAUAUUAUGAAGCAAGAAAUGAAUAUCAAAGUGCAGUGGACAGGACUUUAUGAAGAAAGGAAGAGACAUCCAUGAAACAAGGAAAGAUCAUUUAAAUGUUAUGAUUUAUAUGGUAUCAGGACAGGAAGAAACAACAUCAAUUCUGAUUGACUGGAUUUUCUCAGGAAGAAAAGAAAGAACAUAAGGAAGGAACAUUAAAGUGCAAUUGAUUCAAUUUUAUUAUGGAGAAAGGAAGAAACAUCAAAGUGCAAUCGACUUGGAUUUUAUUUAAGUGCAGUGGACGGACUGGAUUUUCUCAGAAUGAAGAGAGGAUAUUCUGAUGUACAUGUGACCCAUAAAAGUGACUGUAUUCAUUUAUAGUAUUUAAAGUGAAGAAAUAACAGAAAAAUGUUAAUUUUUAGAAUUGAUACUUUUGUGGGGGUGGGAAUCUCUGUCCUGUCUAUACCAUUUAUUCCAAUUCAUCCUAUCCUAUUCCAACUUGACCCUGCCCAUCCCAUUCCUGAUUGGUUACCCAGAUAUGAUUGUAUAAAUAAUACAUAAUAUAGCAUACUUGAAUUAAAAUAUUAAUGUGGAGCAUGGCCAAAAAAUAAGCAGAGAAAAGAUGUGUAUAAAUCAAUUUAAUAUGAAAUAUGUUAGUGUGAAAUCAUGUCUUAUUCAUCCAAUUGACACUUUCUAUAGUCACACAUUAUAUAAAGUGUUAAUAGUACACUUCUUUAUAAGUAGAUAUAUGUAUAUGAUAGAAAAGGUUGAAAACACCUAUUUUUCAAGACAUUCAUAAUUUUAUUAUGGAUAGAAACUAUUAUCUGAAGUGGAAUAAUUAUUAAAUCUGGAACCAUACUUGUACAGUUUUCAGAAGUUACACUCCAACGAUAUUUUGAAAAGUCUGGAAAAAGAAUUGUUUGAAAGGUAAUAUGUUUUCUGCUUGGUACAUAUAUGCAGAAUUACAGGAGUAAUUUAUAUUUCUUGUUGCCAUGCUUAUUUACAGUACUUAUACCAGUCCAAUUUUUUUUUUCAGUUUGAGCUGCAAGUUGAAGCAGGAAAAUGGUGUCAAGUGUCAAGGCAAGCCAAAGAAGCAGUACUGAAUUUUCCCCAGAAAAGUAUGAAGAAUGUCUGUGAAUAGAGUGACUGUGUUCAUUUGUAGUAUUUAAAGUGAAGAAAGAACAUAAAAAUUUUAAUCAUUGGAAUUGAUACUUUUUGUGGGGGUGGGAAUCUGUGUCCUUUGUAGUCCAGUUCCUUCCCAUCAGUCCUAACCCCAUUUCAUCUUGACCCGGCCCAUCCCAUUCCUGAUUUGUAAUCCAGAUAUGAAUGUACAAAUAAUAUAUAUCAUUUGAAUUAAAAUAUUAAUAUAGAGCAUGCCCACAAAAUAAGCAGAAAGAUGUAUAUAGAUGAAUAUUAAUAUAGAGCAUGGCCACAAAAUAAGCAGAGAGAUGUAUAUAGAUGAAUUUAAUAUGAAAUAUGUUAGUAUGAAAAUAUGUCUUAUGCAUGCAAUUGACACAUACAAUAGUAACACUUUAUAAGAAUUGAUAAAAGUACACUUCCUUGUAAGUAAAUAUAUGUAUAUGAUAGAAAAGGUUGAAAACAUGAGUUUUUGGAAAUGUUUAUAAUAUUGUUAUGGAUUCAGUCUAUUAUCUUAUAUGGAAAUAGAGAAAAGUGGAAACUUCACAGGUCGCUCAACACGACAAAAACGAAAAUGUUGCAGGCUAGGUUUGAUUGAGCCUGUUCAUGGACGGUAGUGGAAAUGCAUGCUACCGUCCACGCCCUCUAGCCCCGGGUUGAGCAGAACUCAACAUUUACACAUGCUAAAAGUACAAAAAGCAAUAAUUAUUGAAUCUGGAACCACUCUUGUAGAGUAUGGGAACAAAAUAAGCAGAGAAUGGAUUUGUAUAAAUGAAUUCAAUAUGAAAUAAUUGUUCAUGUGAAAAUAUGUCUUAUUAAUGCAAUGAACAUUUGCUAUAGUUAAACUUGAUUAGAAGUGGUAAAAGUACAUUUCUUUGUAAAAAUGUAUAUAUGAUAGAAAAGGUCAAUAGACUGCCAAUGACAACUGACUAUGUAUAUGUAUAGUCAGCGAUUGAUUGGACUUUAUUAUGAAGCAGAAAAGGAAUAUAAAAGUGCAAUAGAAAGGAUUUAAUAUGAAGCAAGGAAAGAUAAUCUAAAUGUUAUAAAAAGUGACAUAAUUAAAAAUGUUAAUUAUUUGAAUUGAUACUUUUGUGGGGGUGGGAAUCUCUGUCCUGUCUAUACCAUUUAUUCCGAUUCAUCCUAUCCAAUUCCAACUUGACCCUGCCCAUCCCAUUUCUGAUUGGUUACCAAGAUAUGAUUGUAUAAAUAAUACAUAAUAUAGCAUACUUGAAUUAAAAUAUUAACCUGGAGCAUAGCCAAAAAAUAAGCAGAGAAAAAAUGUGUAUAAAUCAAUUUAAUAUGAAAUAUGUUAGUGUGAAAUCAUGUCUUAUUCAUCCAAUUGACACUUUCUAUAUUCACACGUUAUAUGAAGUGUUAAUAGUACACUUCUUUAUAAGUAGAUGUAUGUAUAUGAUAGAAAAGGUUGAAAACAUGAAUUUUUCAUGACAUUCUUAAUAUUAUUAUAAAUAGUUUAUUAUCUGAAGUGGAAUAGUUAUUCAAUCUGGAACCACACUUGUACAGUUUUCAGAAGUUACGCUCCAACGAUAUUUUGAAAAGUCUGGAAAAAGAAUUGUUUGAAAGGUAAUAUGUUAUUCUACUUGGUACAUAUAUGCAGAAUUACAGGAGUAAUUUAUAUUUCUUGUUGCCGUGCUUAUUUAAAGUACUUAUACCAGUCCAUUUUUCUUCAGUUUGAGCUGCAAGUUGAAGCAGGAAAAUGGUGUCCAGUGUCAAGGCAAGCCAAAGAAGCAGUACUGGAUUUCCCCCAGAAAAGUAUGAAGAAUGUCUGUGAAAAAAGUGACUGUGUUCAUUUGUAGUAUUUAAAGUGAAGAAAGAACAUAAAAAUUUUAAUCAUUGGAAUUGAUACUUUUUGUUGGGGUGGGAAUCUGUGUCCUUUGUAGUCCAGUUCCUUCCCAUCAGUCCUUACCCCAUUUCAUCUUGACCUGGCCCAUCCCAUUCCUGAUUUGUAAUCCAGAUAUGUCUGUACAAAUAAUAUAUAUCAUAUUUGAAUUAAAAUAUUAAUAUAGAGCAUGGCCACAAAAUAAGCAGGGAGAUGUGUAUAGAUGAAUUUAAGAGAUGUGUAUAGAUGAAUUUAAUAUGAAAUAUGUUAGUAUGAAAAUAUGUCUUAUGCAUGCAAUUGUCACAUACAAUAGUAACACUUUAUAAGAAUUGAUAAAAGUACACUUCUUUGUAAGUAAAUAUAUGUAUAUGAUAGAAAAGGUUGAAAACAUGAGUUUUUGGGAGACAUUUAUAAUAUUGUUACGGAUUCAGUCUAUUAUCUUAAAUGGAAUAAUUAUUGAAUCUGGAACCACUCUUGUGUAGAGCAUGGGAACAAAAUAAGCAGAGUAUGGAUUUGGUGUAAAUUCAAUAUGAAAUAAUUGUUCAUGUGAAAAUAUGUCUUAUUAAUGCAAUGAACAUUAAAUUUUGCUAUAGUUAAACUUGAUUAGAAGUGGUAAAAGUACAUUUCUUUGUAAAAAUGUAUAUAUGAUAGAAAAGGUCAAUAGACUGCCAAUGACAGCUGACUAUGUCCCAUUCAUAUGUAUAGUCAGCGAUUGAUUGGACUUUAUUAUGAAACAGAAAAGGAAUAUAAAAGUGCAAAAGAAAGGAUUGAAUACGAAGCAAGGAAAGAUCAUCUAAAUGUUAUAAAAAAGUGACAUAAUUAAAAAUGUUAAUUAUUAGAAUUGAUACUUUUGUCGGGGUGGGAAUCUGUCCUGUCUAUACCAUUUAUUCCGAUUCAUCCUAUCCAAGUCCAACUUGACCCUGCCCAUCCCAUUUCUGAUUGGUUACCCAGAUAUGAUUGUAUAAAUAAUACAUAAUAUAGCAUACUUGAAUUAAAAUAUUAAUGUGGAGCAUGGCCAAAAAAUAAGCAGAGAAAAGAUGUGUAUAAAUCAAUUUAAUAUGAAAUAUGUUAGUGUGAAAUCAUGUCUUAUUCAUCCAAUUGACACUUUCUAUAUUCACACAUUAUAAUUAUGAAGUGUUAAUUGUACACUUCUUUAUAAGUAGAUGUAUGUAUAUGAUAGAAAAGGUUGAAAACAUGAAUUUUUCGAGACAUUCUUAAUAUUAUUAUAAAUAGUUUAUUAUCUGAAGUGGAAUAGUUAUUCAAUCUGGAACCACACUUGUACAGUUUUCAGAAGUUACGCUCCAACAAUAUUUUGAAAAGUCUGGAAAAAGAAUUGUUUGAAAGGUAAUAUGUUAUUCUACUUGGUACAUAUAUGCAGAAUUACAGGAAUAAUUUAUAUUUCUUGUUGCCAUGCUUAUUUAAAGUACUUAUACCAGUCCAUUUUUUCUUCAGUUUGAGCUGCAGUUUCAAGCAGGAAAAUGGUGUCAAAUGUCAAGGCAAGCCAAAGAAGCAGUACUGGAUUUCCCUCAGAAAAGUAUGAAGAAUGUCUGUGAAAAAAGUGACUGUGUUCAUUUGUAGUAUUUAAAGUGAAAAAAGAACAUACAAAACUUAAUCAUUGGAAUUGUUACUUUUUGUGGGGGUGGGAAUCUGUGUCCUUUGUAGUCCAGUUCCUUCCCAUCAGUCCUAACCCCAUUUCAUCUUGACCCAACCCAUCCCAUUCCUGAUUUGUAUUGCAGAUAUGAAUGUACAAAUAAUAUAUAUCAUAUUUGAAUUAAAAUAUUAAUAUAGAGCAUGGCCACAAAAUAAGCAGAGAGAUGUGUAUAGAUGAAUUUAAUAUGAAAUAUGUCAGUAUGAAAAUAUGUCUUAUGCAUGCAAUUGUCCCAUACAAUAGGAACACUUCAUAAGAAUUGUUAAAAGUACACUUCUUUGUAAGUAAAUAUAUGUAUAUGAUAGAAAAGGUUGAAAACAUUAGUUUUUGGGAGAUGUUUAUAUAUUGUUACGGAUUCAGUCUAUUAUCUUAAAUGGAAUAAUUAUUGAAUCUGGAAACACUCUUGUGUAGAGCAUGGGAACAAAAUAAGCAGAGUAUGGAUUUGGUAUAAAUUCAAUAUGAAAUAAUUGUUCAUGUGAAAAUAUGUCUUAUUAAUGCAAUGAACAUUUGCUAUAGAUAAACUUGAUUUGAAGUGGUAAAAGUACAUUUCUUUGUUGUGGGGGUGGGAAUCACUGUCCUGACUAUUCCAGAUCCUUCCCAUUCAUACAAAUAAUAUAUAAUAUAACAUACCUGAAUGACAGUAUUAAUGUAGAACAUAGUUGCAUUAAAAGCAGAGAUAAAUUUGAUAUGAAAUAUUUUUGUGUGAAAAUGUCAUAUUCGUGUAGUUGACACUUUUCGACACUUUCUAUAGUCACACUUUAUAAGAAGUGGUAAAAGUAUACUUCUGUAUAAUGUAUAUAUGUUUAUAUAGUGUUUAGAGUGAAGAAAGAACAUAAAAUGUUAAUAAUUGAAAUUAAUACUUUGUAGGGGAUGGGAACAUUGUCCAGUCUAUUCCAGUUCCUUCCCAUUCAUGCCUAUCCUAAGCCAAUCUGACCCAUUCCAUCCCAUUUCUGAUGGUAACUUGUGUAUGAUAGUACAAAUAAUAUAUAAUAUAGCAUAUUAGAAUUAAAAUAUUAAUGUUGAGCAUGGCCCAAAUAAAUGAAGAGAAAAUAUGUGUAUAAAUAGAAUAAUUAUGAAUAUGUUUUAUUCGUGCAAUUGACACUUUCUAUGGUAACACUUAUAAGAAGUGGUAAAAGUACACUUCUUUAUAUGUAGAGAAAAGAUUAAAAACAUUUGUUUUUCGAGCUGUUCAUAAUAUUAUUAUGGAAACAGUCUUAUUACCUAAAGACAAAAAGACAAAUGAUUUCUUAAUCUGGAACCACACUUGCAUGAGCAAAUGAAGGUUCAUGUACAGUUGUUGAAAGUUACAUUCUUGCUGUAUUUUGAGAAGUAUGGAAAAAGAAUUGUUUGAUAGGUAAAAUAUUAUUAUGGAAACAGUCUAUUACCUAAAGACAAAAAGACAAAUGAUUCCUAAAUCUGGAACCACACUUGCAUGAGCAAAUGAAGGUUCAUGUACAGUUGUUGAAAGUUACAUUCUUGCUGUAUUUUGAGAAGUAUGGAAAAAGAAUUGUUUGAUAGGUAAAAUACUGUUCUGUGUUUCAGUCAUAUUUGCUGAAUUUGCUGACCAUUGUUGAAGUUGUGGAUUUUCCCUGGGAAAGAAUGAAGAAUGUUUUCAAGAAGAGACUGUAUUCAUUUGUAGUGUUUGAAGUGACGAAAGAAUUACAAAUUGGUACUUACUAGAAUUUUUUUUUUGUGGAGUUGGGAAUCACUGUCCUGUCUAUUCCUGUUCCUCCCCAUUCUGUCUUGUCCCAUCCCGACCUGGCCCAUCCAUUCCUGAUUGAUAAUCCAGAAGUCUUUGUAAAUAGAACAUGUUGCAUAUUUGAAUGGAUUUGUAUACUGAAAAAAAACCAAAGACAAAUAUCAAACAGGGAAUGCCACGCACCAAAAAGUAGUGUUUUAGAAUAUGGCCACAAAAUAUGCUGAAAAAAAGACAGUGUAUAAAAAAUAUUAAUACCAAAUAUGUUAGUGUGAAAAUGUGUUUUAUUUAUGCUAUGGAUACUUAGUUUAGUUUAUUAUUGUAUAAAAAUAAAGUGUGUUUCAGGAAAGUAUAAUUUAUAAGUCUAUACGAUUUUUGUCAAACAUAUGGAUACAGUUAUACAGUAUUAUACAGGAUAUAAGAUAGAAUAAAUAUUAAACCAGGAAUGACAUUUGUAGCAGUAUGUAACGGAAAAACUUGGUCUGUUGGGUUUAUAAACAUCGAAUGUAACAACAUGACAAGUCUCUUACAUUAUACUGUUUCUAGAGACAGAAGACAAAAGAUGUUGAAUGUGACAGCUGGAAAUGUAAGAGUAGGCUACAAGACUGAUUUCCAAACCAAAUGAUAGGCACUGGUAUGUAUUGUUGUUUAUAAUGAUAUCUAAUGUUGUGUAUAAAAGGUUUCAUUGAUAUGUUGAUCUGUUACACACAGGUAAAUGUCAACUUCUCCACUCAAAUUAGAGGUGGAGGAUGAUUGAUCUGGACUUUAGCUUGAGGAUUUAACUAAUGUAUUCCAUGUAACUUUUACCAUGAUUUUAGAUGCCUAAGUUCCAAAACAUCAACACUUAUUAGCAGAAACACCCAUGGAUGAAGAAUCAGACUGGUUAAUCGGCGGAUGGUGAAAAUUGUCACAUGCUGCAAGAAAGAGAGAUAAAACCCCUCACACCACCAGCACCAACUCGGACAGAUGGUAUCUCAACAUAUAGUAGAUUCACGGUGAUACAUCGUAGAGCAGAUAUAGCUGGUCAACUUAUACAAGAAUGUUGAGACAUCGAUAGUUGGUUUCCUGUGAAGAAGAAUGUAUAAUGUAACACCUGCAGCUAGAGUAUUCGGAGAAAGGAAUCAGCUCAAAGAACAUUGGAGGGGUCUGAUGACAAUAUUGAUACAGGUUACGAAGGUCAAUUAUCAACCUCACUUGGUCAAGUUCUGUAACUCUUACAUGUAUUUUGAGCAAAUUAUGCCCCCUUUUGGACUUAGAAAAUUCUGGUAAAAGUUUUACAUGCAAGUUACUAUCUUAUUACUAUAUUACUUACUUGAGUAUAAUGUUGCACUGCAAGCUUAAAUUGUGUGAUUAAUUUUUUUUUUCUCUCGUUCAAUUUCUUUCUUGUUUUUUUCUUUUUCUAGGUCAAUUAUCAACCUCACUUGGUCAAGUUCUGUAACUCUUACAUGUAUUUUGAGCAAAUUAUGCCCCCUUUUGGACUUAGAAAAUUCUGGUGAUCUACAACAUGAUUCUACAACUGCCAAUGAACUUCAGUAGAAGAGCUGGAGGGGAAUGGAGUGAGCAGAUUGCAGUACAGUCAAACCUGUCUAUAAAGACCACCCUUGGGAGAGUCAAAAUGUGGUCUUUAUUGGGAGGUGGUCAUUAUUCACAGGUUAAAAAUACACUGUUAAUGUUAAAAUGGGAAACAAAACAUGUGUUCUUUAGAGCCAGGUGGUCUCUGUUCAGAGGUGGUCUUUAAGACAGGUUUGACUGUAUACACAUCAGUGGAAGUGGAACAGGCAGAUUUCAAUAUAUACAACAUCAGUGGGAAAAGCGCAAUGAAGUUCAGCUGUUUCCAGCUUGAAACACAUGGAAUCUUCAGAAGCACAUAAUGACAUGGUCGACAUUAUGGAAGUUCAUGGAGUAUGCCCCUGGCCAGACAGAUCUUCAUCUCUUAGAGGUUGAAGUUGCAAGUAGAGACUGACAAUGACUGGACAGACAAUGAUAAUGGUGAAGAGCUACUUUGGAAAACUUUUAAUAAUGGCCAUUAACUUGCAGUCAUUGAUUCCAGUAUUCCAGUCAGUGUAUUCCUCUCCACACAAGAAGCAAUACCAGGAAAUAUGUGGCAUUCAUCAGCCAGGUAGUCAUUUACCCCAAGUGGCAAAGUUAGAGACAGCCUGACACUGAAAUACCCAUUCUUGGAAAAGGAGCAGAAUAUUUUGUGCUGUGGACACUGCAGAAGGGUGAAUGUGCUGUGGACACUGCAGAAGGGUGAAUGUUCUGUGGACACUGCAGAAGGGUGAAUGUGCUGUGGACACUGCAGAAGGGUGAAUGUGCUGUGGACACUGCAGAAGGGUGAAUUUGACAGUUUUAACUUCUCACACCUUCUAUAUGAGUAAGGUGUAUGAUACAGUAGGAAAGUUGUCAAGAGUGUCGUUAGCCAUUGGACAUGUGGUACAUACAAUUAGUGGUGGAGAAAUGGACCUGGUCAGACAGUUGGACAAUAAAUGUGUAUGAAACGAUCACCAUGGUGCUUGUCUAAUGGAAAGGGUUAACUUUAAAGCAGGACUUGCUCUGUCAUUCGCGGGGAAAAACACGAAAUGGAGACGAUCACUUACCAGCACAGUUGACUUUAGAAGUCAGGAAUUGGCCAAAAAGGAUGUUGAUACUGAUACAACUUCAUCGUAGCAACUUCAGUCAUACAGAUUUAUCACUAUUGACCUAGAAACCAUUGACCUAAUUCAAUAUGGGAAGAUGCCACAUGUCACACAAAGCCGCAUACCACAACAAAUCGUUGUAGCACAGAUAUCUGUGUCACACCUAAAAAGGAAAUUUCACCAGAGGCACAAAGGAUCACCAGGAUUGCAUGGAAUAUUCAGACUCAAUGAUGAUAAAAAGCACAAAGUCCAACACAUUUGUACCUGAAAUUAAGUUGACUGUAGUGAAAUUGUGUACUUGGCUUGAAAAGAUCCUAAAGCGAUUUUGGUAGCCCGUUUUGGAAGACAGUUUGAUUUUCCAGUUCUUGUUUCAGCUCUACUGUGCACAAAAAUAACUAGGACAUUAUUCAGCUGAGUUUCUUCUAAAAAGUAUUCUUUUACCAGUGUUCAAGAAACUGUACCCUAAACAGUCAUACUUGCUAUGACACUACUUGGUAUUCGGUACAAUGCCUAUAACUGACAGAAAGACAAAUUUACUAUGAAAAACUGGGAAGGCCUGCCAAGGGUUUUCAUAUGUUAAAGAAAAAUUUCAAGCAAUGACCUAUUCUCAUGAUGAAUUUGGUACCAUAAUGUUCAUUAUCUUAAUAUCUUAAGUAAAAAAUGACAGUUGUAAUUGGAAAUUCGAAUUGUGUUAUUUUACUCUAUAUUUAAGAAAAUUAAUAUAUUCAGACUUGUAAUUUUUUUCAUUUGUUAAAAUGUUAUAUUAUAGCUUUAAGCCUUAAUACCCUCUUUUUACAAUUUGCCUAAAGAAACACUUUAGUUGUACUUGUUUAUUAUUUAGCCAUUUCCUUGAUGAAAAAUACACAACAGACUUCUAGCUCAAGACUUUCCAAGGUUGACAAGUUAUUACUUUCUUUGAUUUUGCUUAAGUUUGAUAAUUAUUGUUAAAUACUUUUGUUCAAAAUUUAAUAAGGUGUAUAAUGUUAUAUUUUAAUAGUAAGGAGAAGACAACCUGUACUGUAAGCUAUGUAAGCUAAUAUAGCUUUCUGUCCAAUGCCUGAAAUGUUUAGUGAUUGUCCUGUUCGUCCGUUUGUUCCUCCGUCUGUCCGUCAGUACGAGGUUAACCAAAUGGGACCGUUUCAUCUAGCAUCAAUACCCCUUACUAGAAUGACUUGAUACUAAUACAGAUGUAAACUGUGACCAUUCCUCAUCUUCAAACAUCACCUGACCUCAGUUUGACCUUGACUUUGUUUUGGACUUGGGUGCAGAAUCUAUCGACAAGGAUGCCACUGGGGGCAUCAAGCGUUUAUUGAACGCAGCUUCUUGUUUGUAAAUAUUUCAUGACUUUCUGAAUAAAAAUGUUUAAAUUAAAACCAUAAGUAAAGUAUAUAAACCCCAAACUUUUAAAGAGCAAGAAGACAAAAUUUCAGUCCAACUCGUGUAUAAAAUUAACUUUGUGAUAUUUUUCUUAGUAAUAAGUAGACAUUUGAUUUUAUAUCUGUAUAGAUUUUUGUACAGUUAAUUCAGGUGUAUACAAGACAAUAUUUGUAAAGAUUUUUUUAUGUUUUAAGCUACCUAAUUAUUUAUAUUAGAGAAAACUGUUAAAUUUUAAUUACUUUAUAAGUGUACGUGUAUAAGUGCAACCUCUGAAGAGCAACACCCUUUGGGAGAUACAAAUAUUGACUGUUGUGUGGAGGUUGUUGUUCUUGAGAGGUAAAUUUGAUUAUAUAUUUCAGCUUAGGGAAAUUUUGAUGGCGUUGUUAUAGAGAGGUUUUUGCUUAAGAGAGGACCGCUCUGAAGAGGUUGUACUAUACUUAUAUAUUAUUGAGCUUUAGGGACUCCAUUGGAAAUA